GACCUCAAAUCAGGUAGGACUACCCGCUGAACUUAAGCAUAUCAAUAAGCGGAGGAAAAGAAACUAACAAGGAUUCCCCUAGUAACUGCGAGUGAAGCGGGAAAAGCUCAAAUUUAAAAUCUGUCAGUCUUUGGCUGUCCGAGUUGUAAUCUAGAGAAGUGUUAUCCGCGCUGGACCGUGUACAAGUCUCCUGGAAUGGAGCGUCAUAGAGGGUGAGAAUCCCGUCUUUGACACGGACUGCCAGGGCUUUGUGAUGCGCUCUCAAAGAGUCGAGUUGUUUGGGAAUGCAGCUCAAAAUGGGUGGUAAAUUCCAUCUAAAGCUAAAUAUUGGCGAGAGACCGAUAGCGAACAAGUACCGUGAGGGAAAGAUGAAAAGAACUUUGGAAAGAGAGUUAAACAGUACGUGAAAUUGCUGAAAGGGAAACGCUUGAAGUCAGUCGCGUUAGCCAGGGAUCAACCUUUGCUUUUGCUUGGUGUACUUUCUGGUUGACGGGUCAGCAUCAAUUUUGACUGUUGGAAAAAGAUUAAGGGAAUGUGGCAUCUUUGGAUGUGUUAUAGCCCUUGGUUGCAUACAAUUGGUUGGGAUUGAGGAACUCAC
rnacentral:rRNA from 1 species